CAUGGCGCAGCCUACCAUGCAGUCGAGCGGCAGCACAGAGGAGCUUGCUCCGUGGGUGGCGAGUGGCGGACGGGUGAGGAAUAUGGGAGAAUCUACUUUUUCGGGGGGGAUAUCGUGGGGAAACUUACGCUAAUACCGCAUACGAUCUACGGGUGAAAGCGGGGGACCUUCGGGCCUUGCGCGAUUGAAUGAGCCGAUGUCGGAUUAUCUAGUUGGCGGGGUAAAGGCCCACCAAGGCGACGAUCCGUAUCUGGUCUGAGAGGAUGAUCACCCACACUGGAACUGAGACACGGUCCAGACUCCUACGGGAGGCAGCAGUGGGGAAUAUUGCACAAUGGGCGCAAGCCUGAUCCACCCAUACCGCGUGGGUGAAGAAGGCCUUCGGGUUGUAAAGCCCUUUUGUUGGGAAAGAAGUCCAGCGGGCUAAUACCUGUUUGGGAUGACGGUACCCAAAGAAUAAGCACCGGCUAACUUCGUGCCAGCAGCCGCGGUAAUACGAAGGGUGCAAGCGUUACUCGGAAUUACUGGGCGUAAAGCGCGCGUAGGUGGUUGUUUAAGUCUGAUGUGAAAGCCCUGGGCUCAACCUGGGAACUGCAUUGGAAACUGGACAACUAGAGUGUGGUAGAGGGUAGCGGAAUUCCCGGUGUAGCAGUGAAAUGCGUAGAGAUCGGGAGGAACAUCCGUGGCGAAGGCAGCUCCCUGGACCAACACUGACACUGAAGCGCGAAAGCGUAAAGAGCAAACAGGAUUAUAUAUACCCUGGUAGUCCACGCCCUAAACGAUGCAAACUGGAUGUUGGGCGCAAUGUGGCGCGCACUAUCGAACCUACCGCGUUAAGCUCGCCGCCUGGGGACUACGGCCGCAAGACUGAAACUCAAAGGAAUUGACGGGGGCCCGCACAAGCGGAGAAGAUGUGUUUUACUUCGAUGCAACCGGGAAGACCUUUCCUUACUUUGGCAAUUCGCAAAAUUUUCCAAAAAGGAAUGGGUCCUUUGGGAACUUGUGCGCCGGGUGUGCCAGGCCGUUGUUAAGUUGGGUUGGGGAAAGGUGGGGUUAAUUCCGCCACGAAGGCCACCCUUUUUCUUAGUUUCCCACCGGUUCAGGGGGGGAAUUUAAGGAGGCCUCCGGGGGCUAACCGGAGGGAGGGGGGGGAGGAGGCCAGUUCUUCUGGGCCUUUCGGACUGGGGUUCCCCCGUUGUUCCAUGGUAGGGUCCGAGGAGAAGCAGCCUGGGGCGAUCAAGCAAUCCCCAUAACCUUAUUUCUAUUCGGGAUGGAAUUUGCCACUUGGAUUCAGGAAAUUGGAAUUCGUAGUUAAUGCAGGUUCGCAUUGCUACGGUGAAUACGUUCCCGGGCCUUGUACACACCGCCCGUCACACCAUGGGAGUGGGUGCACACAAGAAAGCUAGGUAGCUUAACCUCGGAGCGCUGACAACGGUGACUUAUGG
rnacentral:rRNA from 2 species